UUCAUGGGCCACGUACCUCUAAUUUGAUCUCAAGUGGGCCAGACCAGUAAACUGCUCCAGAAAGAUCAGAAACUGUUGGCAAUAACACAAUACUAAGGC